rnacentral:rRNA from 1 species
GUAUGCGAUCAUAUUAGUACGUAUGCAUUAGAUCCCAUCGAAACUCAGAAGUUAAGCAUGCUUAAUGAGAAUAGUACUAAAAACGAGCUUUGUUGUAGGAUUUCCACAGACACAGGCA